GUGGGGAAUAUUGGACAAUGGGCGAAAGCCUGAUCCAGCCAUGCCGCGUGUGUGAAGAAGGCCUUUUGGUUGUAAAGCACUUUAAGCGAGGAGGAGGCUACCGAGAUUAAUACUCUUGGAUAGUGGACGUUACUCGCAGAAUAAGCACCGGCUAACUCUGUGCCAGCAGCCGCGGUAAUACAGAGGGUGCGAGCGUUAAUCGGAUUUACUGGGCGUAAAGCGUGCGUAGGCGGCUUUUUAAGUCGGAUGUGAAAUCCCUGAGCUUAACUUAGGAAUUGCAUUCGAUACUGGGAAGCUAGAGUAUGGGAGAGGAUGGUAGAAUUCCAGGUGUAGCGGUGAAAUGCGUAGAGAUCUGGAGGAAUACCGAUGGCGAAGGCAGCCAUCUGGCCUAAUACUGACACUGAGGUGCGAAAGCAUGGGGAGCAAACAGGAUUAGAAACCCUGGUAGUCC
rnacentral:rRNA from 1 species